GACGAACGCUGGCGGCGUGCCUAAUACAUGCAAGUCGAACGCACGAAGUUGAAGAGCUUGCUCUUUAACCAAGUGAGUGGCGGACGGGUGAGUGACACGUGGGUAACCUGCCCAUUAGAGGGGGAUAACAUUCGGAAACGGAUGCUAAUACCGCAUAGUUUCAGGGAUCGCAUGAUUCUUGAAGGAAAGGUGGCUUCGGCUACCACUAAUGGAUGGACCCGCGGCGUAUUAGCUAGUUGGUGAGGUAAUGGCUCACCAAGGCAAUGAUACGUAGCCGACCUGAGAGGGUGAUCGGCCACACUGGGACUGAGACACGGCCCAGACUCCUACGGGAGGCAGCAGUAGGGAAUCUUCCGCAAUGGACGAAAGUCUGACGGAGCAACGCCGCGUGAGUGAAGAAGGUUUUCGGAUCGUAAAACUCUGUUGUUAAAGAAGAACAAGGAUGAGAGUAACUGCUCAUCCCCUGACGGUAUUUAACCAGAAAGCCACGGCUAACUACGUGCCAGCAGCCGCGGUAAUACGUAGGUGGCAAGCGUUGUCCGGAUUUAUUGGGCGUAAAGCGAGCGCAGGCGGUUCUUUAAGUCUGAUGUGAAAGCCCCCGGCUCAACCGGGGAGGGUCAUUGGAAACUGGAGAACUUGAGUGCGGAAGAGGAGAGUGGAAUUCCACGUGUAGCGGUGAAAUGCGUAGAUAUGUGGAGGAACACCAGUGGCGAAGGCGACUCUCUGGUCUGUAACUGACGCUGAGGCUCGAAAGCGUGGGGAGCAAACAGG
rnacentral:rRNA from 1 species